rnacentral:tRNA from 1 species
GCUCGGGUGGCGAAAUUGGUAGACGCAAGGGACUUAAAAUCCCUCGGAGCAAUCCAUGCCGGUUCAAGUCCGGCCCCGAGCACCA